rnacentral:snRNA from 1 species
GUCCCCACAGACGGCGCCA